rnacentral:rRNA from 1 species
GGUUAAGCGACUAAGCGUACACGGUGGAUGCCUAGGCAAUCAGAGGCGAUGAAGGACGUGCUAAUCUGCGAUAAGCGUCGGUAAGGUGAUAUGAACCGUUAUACCCGACGAUUUCCGAAUGGGGAAACCCAGUGCAAUCCGUUGCACUAUCGUUUGAUGAAUACAUAGUCAAACGAAGCGAACCGGGGGAACUGAAACAUCUCAGUACCCCGAGGAAAAGAAAUCAACCGAGAUUCCCCUAGUAGCGGCGAGCGAACGGGGAGCAGCCCAGAGUCUUAAUCAGCAUUAGUAUCAGGAGAACGGUCUGGAAAGUCCGGCAGUAAAGGGUGAUAGCCCCGUAUCUGAAGAUGCUAGUGUUGUGAACUCGACGAGUAGGGCGGGACACGUGUUAUCCUGUCUGAAUAUGGGGGGACCAUCCUCCAAGGCUAAAUACUCCUGAUUGACCGAUAGUGAACCAGUACCGUGAGGGAAAGGCGAA